rnacentral:rRNA from 1 species
AGAGUUUGAUCCUGGCUCAGAACGAACGCUGGCGGCGUACUUAACACAUGCAAGUCGAACGAGAAAGGAGACUUCGGUCUCUGAGUAAAGUGGCGAACGGGUGCGUAACACGUGAAUAAUCUGCCCUAAACCCUGGGAUAACUCCCCGAAAGGGGGGCUAAGACCGGAUAAUUCCUUAUUAUUUAAGUAGUAAGGGGAAAAUAGGCCUCUGUUUCACGCUUAUAGUUUAGGAUGAGUUCGCGUCCCAUUAGCUAGUUGGUAGGGUAAUGGCUUACCAAGGCAACGAUGGGUAGCUGGUCUUAGAGGAUGAUCAGCCACACUGGCACUGAGACACGGGCCAGACUCCUACGGGAGGCAGCAGUGGGGAAUUUUGCGCAAUGGGCGAAAGCCUGACGCAGUAACGCCGCGUGGAGGAUGAAGGCUCUCGGGUUGUAAACUCCUGUCAGGGGGAACGAAAGAGAUAAGGCUAAUAUCCUUAAUCUCUAGCACGGUACCUCACAAAGAAGC